AUGGGGUGCAAACGUUGCUCGGAAUUAUUGGGCGUAAAGCGCACGUAGGCGGUUUGUUAAGUCGGAUGUGAAAUCCCUCGGCUCAACUGAGGAAGUGCAUCCGAAACUGGCAAGCUUGAGUACGAAAGAGGGUCGCGGAAUUCCCGGUGUAGAGGUGAAAUUCGUAGAUAUCGGGAGGAACACCGGUGGCGAAGGCGGCGACCUGGGUCGAUACUGACGCUGAGGAGCGAAAGCCAGGGGAGCAAACGGG
rnacentral:rRNA from 1 species